GUGGGGAAUUUUGGACAAUGGGCGCAAGCCUGAUCCAGCAAUGCCGCGUGCAGGAUGAAGGCCUUCGGGUUGUAAACUGCUUUUGUACGGAACGAAAAGCCCUGGGUUAAUACCCUGGGGUCAUGACGGUACCGUAAGAAUAAGCACCGGCUAACUACGUGCCAGCAGCCGCGGUAAUACGUAGGGUGCGAGCGUUAAUCGGAAUUACUGGGCGUAAAGCGUGCGCAGGCGGUUUUGUAAGACAGAGGUGAAAUCCCCGGGCUCAACCUGGGAACUGGCUUUGUGACUGCAAGGCUAGAGUACGGCAGAGGGGGAUGGAAUUCCGCGUGUAGCAGUGAAAUGCGUAGAUAUGCGGAGGAACACAGAUGGCGAAGGCAAUCCCCUGGGCCUGCACUGACGCUCAUGCACGAAAGCGUGGGGAGCAAACAGGAUUAGAAACCCGUGUAGUCC
rnacentral:rRNA from 1 species